UACGUAGGGUGCAAGCGUUGUCCGGAAUUAUUGGGGGUAAAGAGCUCGUAGGCGGUCUGUCGCGUCUGCUGUGAAAACUCAGGGCUUAACCCUGAGCUUGCAGUGGGUACGGGCAGACUAGAGUGCGGUAGGGGAGACUGGAAUUCCUGGUGUAGCGGUGAAAUGCGCAGAUAUCAGGAGGAACACCGGUGGCGAAGGCGGGUCUCUGGGCCGUAACUGACGCUGAGGAGCGAAAGCAUGGGGAGCGAACAGG
rnacentral:rRNA from 1 species